UUUGUUAGAUUAAAAAUGUUUGUUUAAUUUAAACAGAAUUGUCACAUACAGAAAGGCACGUAAUACAUGAGAACAAAACAACAAGUCAAAUCAAAUUCAUAAUCAUUGCAUGUACAUUUCCAGGUGUAUCAAAACGGAGAAACAAAGAAUCUCAGUAAUGCUUCAUUUUUACAACCCACUGUUUAGCAGGAAGUGUAGUUACUUACAAAUUAAAACGGUAAUUACGUGAUAAUUGCAUAUAACACUUCGGUUUCGUUGAGAUUCAUUGAACCAAUCAAGUACCAUCUAAGGGUUGCAAAAUUCCGCUUCUGGAGUGACCUGAAUAUUGUAAACCGGGUUGUAAAAUGAAACAGUACCAGAAUCCCAUAUUGUAAAUAGUCAGCAGCAGAUGAACAACAACACAAACAAACCAACAAACUAGAGGUGAAAGGUUAUUAAAACAAACAAAUAUAAGAUAUGGUCCGUAUUUGAAAUGGAAAGUCCUCACACCAGUCUCUCCUCUCACAGAUACCAGUCCUCACACCAAUACCAGUUAGAUACUAGUCCUCACACAGAUACCAGUUAGAUACCAGUCCUCACACAGAUACCAGUUAGAUACCAGUCCUCACACAGAUACCAGUUAGAUACUAGUCCUCACACCAGUCUCUCCUCUCACAGAUACCAGUCCUCACACAGAUACCAGUUAGAUACUAUUCCUCACACAGAUACCAGUUAGAUACUAGUCCUCACACAGUUACCAGUUAGAUACCAGUCCUCACACAGAUACCAGUUAGAUACUAGUCCUCACACAGUUACCAGUUAGAUACCAGUCCUCACAUAGGUACCAGUUAGAUACUAGUCCUCACACCAGUCUCUCCCCUCCUCACACAGAUACCAGUUAGAUACUAGUUCUCACACAGAUACCAGUUAGAUACCAGUCCUCACACCAGUCUCUCCUCUCCUCACACAGAUACCAGUUAGAUACUAGUCCUCACACCAGUCUCUCCUCUCCUCACACAGAUACCAGUUAGAUACUAGUCCUCACACCAGUCUCUCCUCUCCUCACACAGAUACCAGUUAGAUACCAGUCCUCACACAGGUACCAGUUAGAUACCAGUCCUCACACCAGUCUCUCCUCUCCUCACACAGAUACCAGUUAGAUACUAGUCCUCACACCAGUCUCUCCUCUCCUCACACAGGUACCAGUUAGAUACCAGUCCUCACACAGGUACCAGUUAGAUACCAGUCCUCACACCAGUCUCUCCUCUCCUCACACAGAUACCAGUUAGAUACCAGUCCUCACACCAGUCUCUCCUCUCCUCACACAGAUACCAGUUAGAUACUAGUCCUCACACCAGUCUCUCCUCUCCUCACACAGAUACCAGUUAGAUACCA
ensembl:lncRNA